GAGGCUUUUCCCCCCCUUUUAUGGCGAUGAUUCACAUUUUCCCCCUGUGUUUUCAGGUUUCUGAAGUCUCUGGACAGCUGGCAAAAGAGAAAAUUCAAACAAGGAAAAGAAGAGCAAGUGUUCCUCAGAUCUGCUUUUCCAGGCUGAUCUUUCUACCAGUUUAAGACCUGGUCUCCAGAAGUGGGUAAGUGCUGGCUUAUUUUGAGCAUACAAAUCACCUGAGAUUAUUAGAGUGUUUCAAG
rnacentral:lncRNA from 1 species